AACCAUAGAAACCUGCGGAGUACCUGCGGAGGGAUCAUUAUAGUAUAUGGAAUCUCCAUUCUAUAAACCCACUCUGCGUAUCUUGUAACUGUUGCUUCCAUGGGACUUGGUCCCGCCACACCGGCUUCACGGCUGGUGAGCGCCCAUGGAAGGAGAAACAAAACUCCUCUUUGAAAUGUAGUCAGUCUGAACAAGUUUUUAUAAACGUUAAAACUUUUAACAACGGAUCUCAGAUCGGAA
rnacentral:misc_RNA from 1 species